rnacentral:misc_RNA from 1 species
GGAAGUAAAAGUCGUAACAAGAUUUCCGUAGGUGAACCUGCGGAAGGAUCAUUAUUGUAUAACCGAGGUGCGAGGGCUGUCGCUGACCCGAAAGGUCGUGCACGCCCGAGUGCCCUCACACACAUCCAUCUCACCCCUAUGUGCACCACCGCGUGGGUCCCCCUUUGGCUUGUUCGGAGGGGGGCUUACGUUUUCACACAAACUUUGUAUGCAGUGUAGAAUGUAUUUUUUGUUUUCGCGAUCACGCAAUCAAUACAACUUUCAACAACGGAUCUCUUGGCUCUC